CGGGGAGUAGUUCAGUUGGCUAGAAUGCGCGCUUUGGGAGCGCGAGGUCGCGGGUUCGAGUCCCGCCUCCCCGA
rfam:Candidatus Roizmanbacteria bacterium RIFCSPHIGHO2_12_FTLL_33_9 rifcsphigho2_12_scaffold_20395, whole genome shotgun sequence.